CACGGUGAGCCUGGAGCUGGCUAGGUGCCUCAUCGAAUCCUCCCCAAAACCCAAUGAGGACAUGCUUUCUACAACUCUCUCUAUUCGGAAGGGAUCACAGGGUGCCCACCUCGUGCAUGAUCUGCUGUCCUGAACACCGUGUGCCAGAGCGGAGUGAAAAUCCCAGCCACACUCUUCCCAUAAAGGGUAAUUCUUUCUACUCCUUCCUGACCACUUUAGUUUCACAGCCUCUGUGGAUUAGUAACGUUUAUUCUCUGCAGCUCUGGAGGGAACACCUCCUUCCCCAAGGCUCUGGCUGGGCUCUCACGCAAUCUCACGUAUCCCACCUUAAUAAUUAUCCGAAAGAAGAGCACGUAUUCAAUUCUAAGAUUAGGAUCCAGCAGACAAGGAUUUCGAAGAGAGGAGUAAGCCUAAUGAAGGCAGAGAGUGGAUUAGAAGGAAAUGUGAGGUGGAGAAACUUCUCGUCAAACAAAACCGCGCCUCUUGGGUGGGUUCCCGGGUGCAACCUCUCUGGAGGGCCAUCUGGUGAGAUGUAGCAACUGCAACUAAAAGUGCAUAACUUUAGGCCCCAAAUUCCACUUAAAGGAAUUUAUCCCAAGGAAGUAGUAAGAAAAAUAUGCAAAGAUGGAUCUCUAGGAGUUUUUAGAGGGGAAAAGAAGUAUAAAACCUUGUUUUAUACUUAAAACACCUGUUGGUGGGACAGCUAAGACCGCUGUCUUCUGCUCUGACACCAGUCUGUUCUUCAGAUGAGGAAACAGAGGCACAGAGAGCUUAAGCAAAUUGCCUGAGGUCACACAGCAGAGCUGGAUUUGAUGCGGGGAAGUGACUCCAGAGCUCGCCGUUGCCCAGUCGGCUCUGCCACCUCGGGCCUCAAGAGGAGAGGAGAAUGUCUUUCUGGGAGUAAUGUGGAGAUUUCUCUGGGAGGCAAGAGGAUGGCGUGGGACUCACAGGUCUGGAGUGUGGAGUCCUGGGGCCGACGCCUUGGGCUGAGAACACCAGGCUCGGGUGGGAGGAUGUGGUGGCCGAGGGCGCUGACUGUCCCCAGGCGACCAGGGUAGAGCCAAUUCUGCCAUCCCCCACCCCCGCUCAGGGUGGGGAUUGUGUCCUUUGCUGCACCCUCCCACCCCCAGCCAGCAGCCCAGCCCCCAGCCUCCUGAACCCACGAGACCCCCCCAAGAUAGACUGGAGGGAAAGCCCAACUUCAUCAGUGGAGUCAGGUGAAAUCCGCUUGUAAAUAAGUCAAUCAGAAACCAAAAGGUUGCGUCCCAGCAUGACCGGGAACUGUCACCGUCAGCGGCGUGGAAAUGAUGGAGACGAGAGGGACAGUGCCUGUCAAGAGAUGAGCAAGAUCAGUCGUCCACUGUGCGGUUCUCCUACUGCUAUGCGAGGCAGCGAGGCACAAAAUCGGCGCCUGCUGUGUGCGCAUGUGUGCAGGGUCUCAGAGCCAAGCGCCCAGACAGGCCUGGCAAGUCACAAAGGAGUGAGGAAGGCUCGACCCCACCAGCUGACAGCCAGCAGGCCCUGAGGGAGGACCACCUGCCAGACUCGUUCCAGCAGGUUCUGGAUAUGGACUCAGCCAAUCCCCCAGCCCUGUCGGGACUCAGGUCAAUGUCCCUCCUGGUCCCUGAGUCCCCAUCCAAGCCCCCACACCCGUCACUCCCUCCCUGCAGCCUGGUUAGCUGCCUUCCCAGCGCCUCUCACCUCAGGAAAUCCUCUCGAGCGUCGCUGGAGUGAUUUCUUGCUCAUCGUCUGUCUCCGGCCACAAGUGCAGGGUCUGUAGGGGCAGGAUGGGGACCACGGCCGCACCCCCAGAGCCUGGAGCUGUGCCUGGCACAGAGCACGUGCUUAACAGAGCCCGUUGGAUGAAUGCCACACGUUGGCCGCUGGAGGAUGCUGGAAGAAAUCUCCAAGAUCGCCCUCUGACCUGCUCACUUGACAGAGGACAUGGUGGGAGGUGGGGGGCUCCAGAACUGUGCCCCUGACCACCUGGCUGCACUGCCACACGGCACACAUCAUGGACACACAGGACACGGAUUGCCAAGGAGCCCAUUGACUUUCUAGCAAGAGCGAAGCCGUCUGUGCGCAAGACUCAGUCUGAGGAGUGAUGGGCCACAGGCUGCAGUGGAAUAAACUGGGAAGCUCUGCUCCCCUUGUCACAUCCUGAGCUCAAACCAGACAGGGUCCUUAGGAGGUGACAGCCGACAGCGUUAAAGAAAGUGUCAGCGGUUGCUGUGGGAAGAUGUUCCCCCAGGAGAGGAAGCUGGGGAGCCAGCACCCACAAUCUUGGUGGAGUCUCUUUCUAGAACCUGCUUGCGUCUCUCAGCCACCUGUCACACAGAGCUGCCUGGAGACCAAGUGACGUGGGUGAGGCUUCAUUCCGGGCACAGCUGGUGUGGUAGGACCCUCGGGGCCAGAGUCUGGGAUGCGGGUCCCAGGCCUGGCGCUCCGGCCUCUCGGCUGGGUGACCUCUGGAGAGUCUCCCAGCCUGACAGGUCUCUGUUCUCCUCAUCUUUGCAACGAGCAGAAUGAGCCUCUCCCGCCACCUCCCAGGGCUGUUGGGGGUCACCUCCACUGAUGGAUGCCAGGACACGCUGGCAGCGUGUGUGGUUGCUCUCUGCCUGCAAAUUAUUCCAAAAUCUGGUGCCGGGUUUCCAGCCCAUGACGUGUUUUCAUGUCUGUUUCUAGUCCAUAUUGCAAAGGUAGUUUCCUCUGCAGCCAGCACAGGUACGUUACUAUUUAUUAAACUCUGCACGUUAUUGAGAUUUUACUAGUUUUCUCUCGUGUCCUUUUUCCGUUCUACACUCCCAUUCAGGACACCAAAUUAUCUACACUGUGUGUUUCAAACAUUUUUGGACAUAACCCAAAGUUAAAAGUGCAUUUUAC
rnacentral:lncRNA from 1 species